UACGAAGGGGGCUAGCGUUGCUCGGAAUCACUGGGCGUAAAGGGUGCGUAGGCGGGUCUUUAAGUCAGGGGUGAAAUCCUGGAGCUCAACUCCAGAACUGCCUUUGAUACUGAAGAUCUUGAGUUCGGGAGAGGUGAGUGGAACUGCGAGUGUAGAGGUGAAAUUCGUAGAUAUUCGCAAGAACACCAGUGGCGAAGGCGGCUCACUGGUCCCGAUACUGACGCUGAGGCACGAAAGCGUGGGGAGCAAACAGG
rnacentral:rRNA from 1 species